rnacentral:lncRNA from 1 species
UUAAGUGAUUAACAAUCUCGGCAUCAACGAUGGCCUUAGAUAAGGCAUCACAAUCACAACCACCAGGAGCAGAAUUUUUAGUUGAAAUUUUCUUCUUACCCAUUGAGAAUUAAAAGGAAACAGCCCAGAAAGAUAGGCCCAAAAGUAGCCCACCACACGGCCAGGAAACAGCCCAACCAACAGCCAAGCAAACACAGUCAAAAGUCCAGAAAAAGUCCACGAACAGUCCCAAAGACGGCCCAGAAAAAUAGUCCGGAGGAGGCCCAAGCAACAGCCCAAACAAAGAGCAAGGAACAGCCCAAAAAAGGCCCAAAUGAAAACAUUAAG